GCAGUCAGCGGUAAGGCCUUUCGGGGUACACGAGCGGCGAACGGGUGAGUAACACGUGGGUGAUCUGCCCUGCACUUCGGGAUAAGCCUGGGAAACUGGGUCUAAUACCGGAUAUGACUUCAGGUUGCAUGACUUGGGGUGGAAAGAUUUAUCGGUGCAGGAUGGGCCCGCGGCCUAUCAGCUUGUUGGUGGGGUAAUGGCCUACCAAGGCGACGACGGGUAGCCGACCUGAGAGGGUGACCGGCCACACUGGGACUGAGACACGGCCCAGACUCCUACGGGAGGCAGCAGUGGGGAAUAUUGCACAAUGGGCGAAAGCCUGAUGCAGCGACGCCGCGUGAGGGAUGACGGCCUUCGGGUUGUAAACCUCUUUCAGCAGGGACGAAGCGCAAGUGACGGUACCUGCAGAAGAAGCACCGGCUAACUACGUGCCAGCAGCCGCGGUAAUACGUAGGGUGCAAGCGUUGUCCGGAAUUACUGGGCGUAAAGAGUUCGUAGGCGGUUUGUCGCGUCGUUUGUGAAAACCAGCAGCUCAACUGCUGGCUUGCAGGCGAUACGGGCAGACUUGAGUACUGCAGGGGAGACUGGAAUUCCUGGUGUAGCGGUGAAAUGCGCAGAUAUCAGGAGGAACACCGGUGGCGAAGGCGGGUCUCUGGGCAGUAACUGACGCUGAGGAACGAAAGCGUGGGUAGCGAACAGGAUUAGAUACCCUGGUAGUCCACGCCGUAAACGGUGGGCGCUAGGU
rnacentral:rRNA from 1 species